rnacentral:rRNA from 1 species
GGUUAAGCGACUAAGCGUACACGGUGGAUGCCCUGGCAGUCAGAGGCGAUUAAGGACGUGCUAAUCUGCGAUAAGCGUCGGUAAGGUGAUAUGAACCGUUAUAACCGGCGAUUUCCGAAUGGGGAAACCCAGUGUGUUUCGACACACUAUCAUUAACUGAAUCCAUAGGUUAAUGAGG